GCUCGCGUUGAAACAUAAAAAUAAAUAAAAUGAUUCACGCCGUACUUUUACUUUUGUGUUUAUGAAACGAUAAUUUGGAUGAAUAAAGAAGAAAAAUCAUGGUGAAAUUGUGAUAUAUAUAUAGUGCAUAGAAGAAGGAAGAGGAAGAUAAGUGAAACACUUUCUUGCAUCGAAUAUAUUCAUUUCGCGAUUAAAUUUAAAAAUGAAUAUCCUUGGAGUUUUUUUACAUAUUUAUAAAAAGAAAAAUUGAAUAAUGAAAGAGGGGGAAAGAGCAAAAAAGUGAACUAACACUUAUAUUAAGUAUAAUCACUCGAAGACGUAGAAAUAGAUAAAAAUUACUACUUUAUAGAAACAUUCAGACAGAUAAAAUUUAAAAGCUACGAUAAAACGAUAGGAUGAUAAUAUACGAUAGUACAGUGAGAAAAAGAAGAAGGAAAUAAACGAAGAAACGUUCACUUAUGCCGAUAUCAUACUGUAUUCACGUUUAAAAGUAUAAAUAAAUAAAAAUAUCGACGAUGAAUUUAUUCAUGCGUGUAAAAGAAUUUAAUCCAGAUUCCGAAUAAAGAAGGAAAAAUCGAUAACGAUAGGACAAUAAACCACGGUUAAAAACAUAUAUCAACCAGUAUAAUUCAAACAAUCUCCCGUUCACCUCCGUUCACUCACUGUUCGAAAAAUAUAAUAUAAAAAAAGAAAAUAUAAAAAAGAAAUAUAUACUUACGUGUUUUACGGAAAGUAAGAAAUCGUUUGAUUGAACGAUGACGUAGAGGGAGGGAAGAGGGGACGAAGUGGAGGAAUACCGGCUAUAAGAGGGCCGUCGAUUGUAUUUCACCGUUAUGUCAGACGCGAGAGAGCGAGGAGGAACAUUCCUGGACCGUGUCCAGAACCGAUCUGAAUUCCUCGCCGAGGAAAUUCCAACGAGGUUGUCAUUCGAUGAUCUCAAGGUGAGCACGGUGUGAUCGGCUAUGCGCCGCGUAUGAAUGAAAACUGUGGGCUCGACCUCCGUAUGGAACCACCCUUUGCUCGUGCUCCAGUUAACGAUCGGUGGGACGGGUCGAUUCUUUUAUUUCACGUAUGGAAGGGUCGACCCUCUUUCUCUCGGCUUUGACGCAACGGAUAUCUUUGAACUGGAUUUCUUGAACGAUUUUUUACCUCGCUGGUUGACUAAACACUUUCAAAGGAUAAGAUAUGGAGAUAGAUAGAUGAUGGUUUGAGAGCAAAGGAUGGAGGAUUGGGAGAAGUUUGUAAAUGAUUUAUUUCCUUUAUUGAAAUUUUUAUGCAUGAAUGAAACAAGAUAAUUCUAUGCAAAUAAUGGAUUAUGCGUUUAAGAGUAAAGGAAGGAUGAUUUUGAGAUAUUGGCAAUAAUAUUAAUUUGGUUUUGAUUAAUUUUAAGUAUCAUUGUGAGAUUUUUAUGUGUAGAAAAAAGAAAUUGUAUGAAAAUAGGAAAGCAGAAGAUAUUAUGUUAGCAAAGAAUGAAAUUGAAUAAUAUAUAUUUGUUAUGAAUGUAUGAAUGGAAGAUAAUGCUUCUAGAUAUCCAAAUUUUUUGAAUUCGUUGAAAUUCAUUGAACAUAAAGCUCUACUUUUCUAUUUUCAUUUAUUAAAAAAAAAAAAAAGUCACUCAAGUCAAGAGAUUAAUGAAGUACUUGGAAUUUAGAUAAAGCCAGAUAUAUAGAAGUAUAUAUAUAUAUAGAAGAAUAAAAAAAUAUUGAUCCUAUCUUCAAUAUUUAUUUGAUAAUCAAAGAUAGAAUCUCUGUAUAUAUUAAACAAAAUGUGUUUCAUACACAUAAUGAAAAGAACCUUGAUACUUGUAUUUUCAAUCAUAACUUGAAUUAUUACACCUCUGGACAUUUCUGGAAAUUAUAAAAGUUAAGUAAUCAUUAUUAGAAGAUAAAUUUUAAUUUUUAUACAAUGAAGUAAUGCAAGAAAGUAAUACAAUGAUACUAACUGUUACAGAAAAUGGAGGGUUUUUUAAACUUUAGAUAAAUAUAAAUGAUGAAGGAAUGAUAUCCAGAAGAAAAGUUCUAGAAGAAAUUUAUUAUUUAUUUAGAACAAAUCAGUCGAAUCCAGUAUGUCGGUCAUCGAUAAAAUCGAAUAAAAUUCAUCGUAUUCCUCUGCGAAACCUUGUUAAACAUCUCAUGACUACACACCUAUAUAUGUGAAUCUCAUACAAAGUACUCCGUACGGAUUAAGACAACAUAUGCCUUCAAUAUCUAUGAUUAAUUACAAAGGAGAUUGUUCAAAUACCAUUGAAAUGGAAAACGAAAAUCCGUAGUAUUUACUUUCUCCUGGCAUUCUGGUUCGAGCGCCAUUUAUUUACACAUUGGCGAUAGUAUUUCUAAGAAUAGUGUAAAUACAUCGGUGGAGGUAUAUUAUCACACGAGUACCAAGGUGAUUCUGUUUUUCAUGUAAUUACAACCAAGAGACAAUUCGUGUUUCAUUCUUAUCGUUCCGUGUUUCAAGCUAGUCAUUUCAACCGACCUUUCAGGUUGGACAAUUUUACAGUGCAACGUCGUUGCUAAUAUAAUGUCAAAAGAUAAUGUAAUAAAAUAAAAAAUUGAGGUAGAAAUAUUUUUAAUGCUCGUUUCCAUGUACGAAUGAAGUUACUCCUAUUUGUUGAAUUUAACAAUUUUUUAAAAUUAGAAGAUUGAUUGCUUAUUCUACUAGCUUACUCCAAAUAAAAUUGAAAAACACUCACGUAAGAAUUUUCUAAUCUCUGUAUCUGUAAAAUAUCGGAAAGAAAGAAGAUUAAAAAUCUAUAAAAUAAUACAAAUAUAUAAGAAGUAAGUAUAUAACAAGUGAAUAAAGGUAUUAUCUACUUCUUGAUACAAUCUUGUCGUAUCUAUUUCAUUCCAUUUAUCUAUAUAUACAAUAUUUCUAUCGAACAGGUUUCUUUCGUCGAUUCUAAGAAAAUAGAUAAAGAAAUGAGAAAAAGGAAGAAGAGGAAGCAAGAAAAAAAAACGAAAGCAUUUUGCGUCCUCGUGAUUUACGAAGCCGAAAGUAGACCGGCUCGCAAUCGGGCUCGCUCGUUUGAGGAAAGCGACCGGUAAUUCGAACGAGCGAUGUAUUUCCUCGCGUGUAAUUUUUCCUCGCGGCCGAAGGAAACCGGUCUUCUUUAUCAUCGUGACGAUAAGUCCCUGCUUGCGCAACGAUUAUGCGCCAGAGAGACCGUGCUUCGUAUGCAAAAAGCGUCCCCGUUCUCUUUCUUCUUCCUCUUUUUUUUUUUUUUUUUAUUACGAAUACGAGAGAGAUUCUUCUUCUCUUUCUCGCUAAUAAAGUGAAGAAACUGACGAUGGA